CUUUUGGAUGGGCCCGCGGCGCAUUAGCUAGUUGGUGGGGUAAAGGCUUACCAAGGCAAUGAUGCGUAGCCGAACUGAGAGGUUGAUCGGCCACAUUGGGACUGAGACACGGCCCAAACUCCUACGGGAGGCAGCAGUAGGGAAUCUUCCACAAUGGGCGAAAGCCUGAUGGAGCAACGCCGCGUGGGUGAAGAAGGUCUUCGGAUCGUAAAACCCUGUUGUUAGAGAAGAAAGUGCGUGAGAGUAACUGUUCACGUUUCGACGGUAUCUAACCAGAAAGCCACGGCUAACUACGUGCCAGCAGCCGCGGUAAUACGUAGGUGGCAAGCGUUAUCCGGAUUUAUUGGGCGUAAAGGGAACGCAGGCGGUCUUUUAAGUCUGAUGUGAAAGCCUUCGGCUUAACCGGAGUAGUGCAUUGGAAACUGGGAGACUUGAGUGCAGAAGAGGAGAGUGGAACUCCAUGUGUAGCGGUGAAAUGCGUAGAUAUAUGGAAGAACACCAGUGGCGAAAGCGGCUCUCUGGUCUGUAACUGACGCUGAGGUUCGAAAGCGUGGGUAGCAAACAGGAUUAGAUACCCUGGUAGUCCACGCCGUAAACGAUGAAUGCUAAGUGUUGGAGGGUUUCCGCCCUUCAGUGCU
rnacentral:rRNA from 1 species